AGCGAACGCUGGCGGCAGGCCUAACACAUGCAAGUCGAGCGAGCAUUUCGGUGCUAGCGGCGGACGGGUGAGUAACGCGUGGGAACGUGCCCUUUUCUGCGGAAUAGUCCUGGGAAACUGGGGGUAAUACCGCAUACGCCCUUUUGGGGAAAGAUUUAUCGGAGAAGGAUCGGCCCGCGUUGGAUUAGGUAGUUGGUGGGGUAAUGGCCCACCAAGCCGACGAUCCAUAGCUGGUUUGAGAGGAUGAUCAGCCACACUGGGACUGAGACACGGCCCAGACUCCUACGGGAGGCAGCAGUGGGGAAUCUUAGACAAUGGGGGCAACCCUGAUCUAGCCAUGCCGCGUGAGUGAUGAAGGCCUUAGGGUUGUAAAGCUCUUUCAGCUGGGAAGAUAAUGACGGUACCAGCAGAAGAAGCCCCGGCUAACUCCGUG
rnacentral:rRNA from 1 species